UAGUGGCGAACGGGUGAGUAACACGUGGGCAAUCUGCCCUUCACUCUGGGACAAGCCCUGGAAACGGGGUCUAAUACCGGAUAACACUCUGUCCCGCAUGGGACGGGGUUGAAAGCUCCGGCGGUGAAGGAUGAGCCCGCGGCCUAUCAGCUUGUUGGUGGGGUGAUGGCCUACCAAGGCGACGACGGGUAGCCGGCCUGAGAGGGCGACCGGCCACACUGGGACUGAGACACGGCCCAGACUCCUACGGGAGGCAGCAGUGGGGAAUAUUGCACAAUGGGCGAAAGCCUGAUGCAGCGACGCCGCGUGAGGGAUGACGGCCUUCGGGUUGUAAACCUCUUUCAGCAGGGAAGAAGCGAGAGUGACGGUACCUGCAGAAGAAGCGCCGGCUAACUACGUGCCAGCAGCCGGGGUAAUACGUAGGGCGCAAGCGUUGUCCGGANUUAUUGGGCGUAAAGAGCUCGUAGGCGGCUUGUUGCGUCGGUUGUGAAAGCCCGGGGCUUAACCC
rnacentral:rRNA from 1 species